CCGGCAAGAUGACGCGCAGACGCAGUGGCUCUGGGUUGCUGCCCGACGUGCUGCUGAGAAUCCCACUCGGGGGUCGAGGAGCGAGUUGCUCAAAGCGCAGGCGCUAUGGGCAGGAGGCCUGUCGCCCAAGAGGUUUAAGCCAGCACCUGCCUGAAAGGGGCUCAGCAUAAGUGUGUGAGGCUGGAAUCAGUCCCGUCACCUUUGAGACACCAUCAAAUCAGCACUUUAAGACAGAGCCGGUUGGUUCUCAGUCCUCCACGAUGUACUGAUGGUACGGGUCCUGGGAGUGCUCCCGGCGCUUCGACUUCACGGUGCUCACCAGGAUGGCCACCACGAUGAAGGAGAACAUGCCGACCAUCACCAUGAGGUACAGGAUGACGUAGUAGAAGUUCUCAGCGUCGACCUUGGCCUGGAGUGCCUGCUCCUCCGCUGUGGUGUUUCUCCUCCAGUUGUCCAUGUGGAUUCUCCCCAUCGGAUGCUUCUCCAAAGGACGUGGUCUGGGGCCUGCUGGGUGUCAGAGGAAGGUGAUAUUACACCUGCUUCCCAGGAUUCCACUUGGUUCCUAAUUUCCUUCAUUACAUAAGACAAAGUUGAGCUAUGGGCACCUCCACAGCAAUGGAAGCCAGAUGUUCAAAUGAGGAUUCAUUGAGUUGGUUCUUCAUAAAUCAGCCUUGAAGGUCUGAAUUCCAUGGUCACAGUGAGGCCCUCAGAAAAGGGCAAGUCUGGUACCUGAAGUCAGUUCUGAAAGAAGGUCUGUCGUGAAGGUCAGGGGGUCUUGGAGGCUGACAGCCUAGCCAGACUCGCUAUAAAAGGGAAAACUGGACAACUGGGCAGUGGGAAAGGAAGGGAGCUGUGCUGGCAACUGGGAGGCGCGGACACCGCACUGUUUACGAAUUCCUGCAGCCAGCCCUGGAAUCCAGAUGCCGACAACUGUUUAUGUGACAGAAAUAGACCCCAAUGCUGCGGGGCUAAGGUGGCUACUGGGAGUUGGGUCCCCUGUGGGGAGGUCGGAGGAGACAGAUGCCCUGGGGCUCCAGGGCAGGCAGGUUUUCUCAGGCCAGUCUUCCGGGUGGGGUCUUUCAUAGGACAGGCAUGGCUAUAAGUGGGAGAGCGGAAAGAAGACCCACGCCAGCAUCUUCUCAUUGUCAGUCGCAAAGGAUAGAGUUAGUUCUUCAACCCAGAGGGGCAUGACCUGCCAGCCACAGCACUGUCCCCGCCCAGCAGGCGGCAUCAAAGAGUCCGAGCCAGCCAGUGUUCAGUGUAAGGCUUCUCUCCACAGCUCCACCUGGAGAAGACUCAGCCCAAACGCGUGGUUCUCAUCACUGCCUGGUUGAUACAGAGGUCUGAAUGUUCUAGAGUCAGGAGCUGUGUCAGCCAAUCAAACAUGUUCCCCCAAAUCCUGGCUCCAAGCUCACUCCUUUCCUCACACCCCUUGCUCCCCAGCCCUGAAUGGAUGAUCUUCCUAAGAGAUGUCUCAUGAGAUGCAGACUAGAUACUUUCCCUCUUCAAAAACUCUCCAGCUGUCCCCAUCUGAAAGAAGCCCGGCACAGUGGUCACCUAGCCCUACAUCUGUCCCGUCCACCCAGCGUCCCCUGUGAUUUUGAAGUCAGAGGUGUGUUUCAUCUGCUCAAGCCUUGACCUGGACACAGCACCUAGCACAGCGAGGCAAGCUGUUAACGGGAAAACAGCAUCAAGAGACAAGGGUGUGAGCCAAGCUUUUGUGUCUCCAAUUGGGGUGUUUUCUAUCACUGUAAUGAAACUCCCAAGGCUGGAUAGCUUUAAAAAGCAAAUAGGUUUAUAUAGCUCAAAUUUCAAGGGCAUGGGGCCAGAAACAGCUCAAAGUAGAUGGAGUCGCAAUAGCAAAGACUAUAUUACCAGGCUGAAAUCCAGGGAGAUCUGAGAAGGCACCAGCAAUGACCUUCACCUGGGCCCUAUUUCUUAAAGGCUCCGCCAUCUCUAUACCACCAGGCUGAGGAUCAAGCCUCUUACACAGGAACCGUGUGUGGCAGGACCCGUACCACAUCCAAACCAUGCACCUAACUCCUUACGUCGCUAGGGAAACCAGCGCUCUCGCGUACUGAAGCACGGCCUGAAGCCUCCUGGCCAGAUCCGCAUACCUGGAUCCUUGGGCCUCUCUGUUGUAAGAGCUACAUGCCUCAGGGACCAAGGCACGCCGUGUCUUCUUUCAAAGCUCCUGCCUCUCUGUAAACAUGCUUUGCCUGGACCGACUCACCAGUCAGGUCUUCACUUGAAUGCUGUCUCCCAGGGACAGCUGCCCACACAGCGGCUCCUUCUGUCUAGAUACACAGAGCUGCUUACCCAUGGGGAGGGGUGCUGCAUGUAAUAUCGCCUGAUGCCUUGUGGGCACUCAUGUCCCUGGCAGAAAGCAACUGCAGGUAGUGAGUGCCCUGAGUCGCCUCUGCAGCUUGUGCAGUGCCUGGCUGCUCUGUCUUCUGCUUCCCUGCCUGAUUCCUGGAGGGCAAGAAAGCCAUCUGCUCCCUCCAUCCUCCCAGGGCCUGGCAAGGACUGUAUUACACUAACGAGUGGAUUAAUGAACACACCAGAGGAGGCCUGGCGGAACACAGGACAGCUGCAAAAUGCGUCACCUUGAGAGGGCACCAAGCUUGAGCUCCAUCAGGCCCCACAAGUCCCUUCAGGAGAGAGGUGAAGACCCGGGCCCUCCAGGAGAGAGGUGGCCUCCAGCUGCUUCACGGGACCUCGAGGGAAAGGAGAGCCACAGGUAAAACAACCAUUUGCAGCUGUGUGUUGUCUUCUCUUUGGAGAAGUGAACAGAAGCCUGUGGGUGUGAAUGCAAGGAGGACAGUUCCUGAUGCUCAGAUUUCUGAUCUCAGAUGCAGAGCCGAGGACAAACAGGCCACUCUUGGAUGCCAAACCCAUGGUGCAAAGGAGGCCAACUAUGGCUGCCAGGAUCAGCUCAGGCACACUCUGAGUCCCUAUUCACCACCCCGUGGCCGCGGUCCUUUCCACCCACCCACUACCCCAUUUGCCCCCAGCAGAAGACAGAACUUUCUGUCUGGGGGCUUGAGGCAAGCCUGCACAUAAUUAACUGUAAUAAUUGGCAGGUGGGUCACUGGCUUUCAAUCCACCAGGGGUUCACGAAGAAACAAAAAACCUUGGAUGCGCCACAGCUCAUGUUUAUAGCGUGGCCUCAGAGAAGCUUUAACCUUUCAUGACCAGAAACAAAUUGUGGGCAGCAGCUGUCCUGGGCAAACAAGAGACCCAGAGUAGCCUGGAAGCGAGGCAUGGUCAGCCUCCUCCCUGGAGAAAGGAGGAAGCAGUCACCUGGCCUGUCGCUCUUCCUGGGAGUGCAGAGAUGGAGGAGAAAGGAGGCUUGCCCAGAUGUUUUCUCUUUCUGUUUAGGAGAGUGAUCGUCACCUGCCCAGAUUCCGCAGACCAUGAAUGCUCAUGUUGGCCUUCCAUGAACACCUGUGGUAACCGGGCUCUCACUGGCCUCACUCUAGGUGAGCCAACGUCCAACAGAAUCUACUGUCCUCAUGUCAGCUACACCCCAGUUGUGUCUAUUCCCGCCGUGGCUGAUCAACAGUGUGUUAUCUUUUCUACUGAGGUUAAGAAUCCUUCGCACGAAACUCCAGGAAGCCAUAACAAGUAGAUAGGAGUUGAUAUGAGAGCUAAGAAGAGCUCACCACUUUCAGAAGAAGCCAAAACAUGUCAUCCGAGAGUGAUUACUAAGGAGAAAAAUGAAGCAGGACUUACUUAGGACCAUGGUACUGAGGCCAGUUACUGACAGAGGGGUCACUAUGCCCUUCCAAAAACUGGGUUUCUCUCAUAAUAGAUAACUUUUGAGGAGGUGACCGCUGCACGGGACUUCAAGAGAGACCCAGUCAUGGUGGCCAGGGCUCAGCUAGCCAAUGACACAUCUUUUCUGCUUGUCUGGGUUGGAAAUCUAAAGCCUGUUCUCCCAUGGAGGUGGGAGGUGUGUGUUUGCCUUUUUUACCGCACUGCCGAUCCUCAGCAGAUUAAGUGUGUAGGGAACCCGUGUGUAGCUGGGCCUGGGGCCUGUUCUCCCAUGGAGGUGGGAGGUGUGUGUUUGCCUUGUUUACCGCACUGCCGAUCCUCAGCAGAUUAAGUGUGUAGGGAACCCGUGUGUAGCUGGGCCUGGGGCAUCUUCCCUGGGGCUCAUAUCUUGGAGUGGAACUGUAAGGCCACAUAACGACUCUAUGCUAAAUAUAAAAUCUGGGCACGAUUUUCCAUAGUGAAUUUACUAUUUUAUAUUCCCACCGGCCAUACGUGAGGCUUUAAUUUUUCCAAAUCAUCCAUGCAAACAUGUUAGCUGCUUCCUCUUUUAGUGAUGACCAUUUUAAUGGAUGGAACGAGGUAUCUCAUUAUUUUUUUAAUUAUUACAUUUACUUAGCUAUCUAUUUGUUAACUUGCUCCCUGUGUUUGUGUAUGUGGGUCAGAGGACAACUUGCCAGAGCUGGUUCUCUCCUCCAGCUUGUGGGGUCUGAGGUCAGAAUUCAGGGCCUUGGGCUUUGGUGGCAGAUGCCUGAUACCUACCAUCUCACUGGCCCAUCGUAGUGAUUCCGAUCUGCAUUUUGCUAAAUGAAUGGCUUUGAGCAUCAUUUUAUGAGCUUUGUCAGACAUUCAGUCUCUUUGAGGAAAUGCCAACUCAAGUGUUUUGCUGUUUUUUAAGGUGAGCUGUUCAUCUUGGUGUUGUUUUCACCAUGAAAUUGAGAUCAUUUGCUAGCCAGUGGGGUCAGGGGUGAGUCAAAAGGACAUUGAAGUGAAUCCAGUAAAAUUAUU